rnacentral:rRNA from 1 species
AAUAGAUACCCCGGUAGUCCACGCCGUAAACGGUGGGCACUAGGUGUGGGCGACAUUCCACGUCGUCCGUGCCGCAGCUAACGCAUUAAGUGCCCCGCCUGGGGAGUACGGCCGCAAAGGCUAAAAACUCAAAGGAAUUGACGGGGGCCCGCACAAGCGGCGGAGCAUGUGGCUUAAUUCGACGCAACGCGAAGAACCUUACCAAGGCUUGACAUACACCGGAAACGUCCAGAGAUGGGCGCCCCCUUGUGGUCGGUGUACAGGUGGUGCAUGGCUGUCGUCAGCUCGUGUCGUGAGAUGUUGGGUUAAGUCCCGCAACGAGCGCAACCCUUGUCCCGUGUUGCCAGCAGGCCCUUGUGGUGCUGGGGACUCACGGGAGACCGCCGGGGUCAACUCGGAGGAAGGUGGGGACGACGUCAAGUCAUCAUGCCCCUUAUGUCCUUGGGCUGCACGCAUGCUACAAUGGUCGGUACAAAGGGCUGCAAUACCGCAAGGUGGAGCGAAUCCCAAAAAGCCGGCCUCGAGUUCGGAUUGGGGUCUGCAACUCGACCCC